GCUUCGGCCCUGGCAUCGCGUUCUUUGGUGCCGCCACGGUGGUCUGUGAUCUGGUUCUGCUCUACCUGGAUGCGAAGGCUGACUUCUAUUGGAAGGAGAAGUUUGAGGAGGCGAAACCCCCCAAAGGUAAGACCGAGGCUGCAGCUUAGGGACAUCGGGAAUGCUCUGCUACAAGCACCCUUCGCUCCGGAGCAACCUCCAGGUAGAUGCGAUGGGGGCAUGGCUGCGGCCCAAGUGGAGGCGGCCCAGUUCUCCUGGCCUGAGUGUGCCCUGCUGGGGUGAGGGUCUCCCUUUCCCGGAGAAACACUUGCGUUGGCAGUUCUUGGCUCCUGGAGCACAAAGCCAUCCCAUGUGCAGCUCCCAGCACUGACCGGCUGGUGACUGAGCAGAGCUGGGCUGUGGAGCUGCUGCGGCUGGUUCAGCUUGCUGGGAAGCGGCUGGGCCAUGCUCCGCACAAGAGGCUUAAAGCACUUUGCGCUUCUUCACGUUCCACGUGGCCGUGGGCCUUGAUUUCCCCUGAAAAACGGGGAUGCAAC